GUAGGUGGCAAGCGUUGUCCGGAAUUAUUGGGGCGUAAAGCGCGCGCAGGUGGUUCUUUAAGUCUGAUGUGAAAGCCCCCCGGGCUCAACCGGGGGAGGGUCAUUGGAAACUGGGGAACUUGAGUGCAGGAGAGGAAAGUGGAAUUCCACGUGUAGCGGUGAAAUGCGUAGAUAUGUGGAGGAACACCAGUGGCGAAGGCGACUUUCUGGCCUGUAACUGACACUGAGGCGCGAAAGCGUGGGGAGCAAACAGGAUUAGAUACCCUGGUAGUCCACGCCGUAAACGAUGAGUGCUAAGUGUUGGGGGGUUUCCGCCCCUCAGUGCUGCAGCUAACGCAUUAAGCACUCCGCCUGGGGAGUACGGUCGCAAAGACUGA
rnacentral:rRNA from 1 species